rnacentral:tRNA from 1 species
GCCUGGGUGGCUCUGUCAGUUGAGCGUCCGACUCUUGAUCGCAGGGUCCUGGGAUCGAGCCCCAUGUCAGGCU